UCCACGCAGUAAACGAUGAAUGUUAGUCGUUGGGUAGCUAGUCUAUUCAGUGAUGCAGUUAACACAUUAAACAUUCCGCCUGGGGAGUACGGUCGCAAGAUUAAAACUCAAAGGAAUAGACGGGGACCCGCACAAGUGGUGGAGCACGUGGUUUAAUUCGAAAAUACGCGAAGAACCUUACCUAGCCUUGACAUUGAAGAAACACACUAGAGAUAGAGUGGUGCCCUUCGGGG
rnacentral:rRNA from 1 species